AUUAAACGCUGGCGGCAUGCCUUACACAUGCAAGUCGAACGGCAGCACGGGGGCAACCCUGGUGGCGAGUGGCGGACGGGUGAGUAAAGCAUCGGAACGUAUCCUGGAGUGGGGGAUAACGUAGCGAAAGUUACGCUAAUACCGCAUAUUCUGUGAGCAGGAAAGCAGGGGAUCGCAAGACCUUGCGCUCUGGGAGCGGCCGAUGUCGGAUUAGCUAGUUGGUGGGUAAAGGCCUACCAAGGCGACGAUCCGUAGCGGGUCUGAGAGGAUGAUCCGCCACACUGGGACUGAGACACGGCCCAGACUCCUACGGGAGGCAGCAGUGGGGAAUAUUGCGCAAUGGGCGAAAGCCUGACGCAGCCACGCCGCGUGAGCGAUGAA
rnacentral:rRNA from 1 species